GAUGAACGCUGGCGGCGUGCCUAAUACAUGCAAGUCGAGCGAACAGACGAGGAGCUUGCUCCUCUGACGUUAGCGGCGGACGGGUGAGUAACACGUGGAUCACCUACUUAUAAUACUGGGAUAACUUCGGGAAACCGGAGCUAAUACCGGAUAACAUGUUGAACCGCAUGGUUCAACAGUGAAAGACGGUCUUGCUGUCACUUAUAGAUGGAUCCGCGCCGGAUUAGCUAGUUGGUAAGGUAACGGCUUACCAAGGCAACGAUGCGUAGCCGACCUGAGAGGGUGAUCGGCCACACUGGAACUGAGACACGGUCCAGACUCCUACGGGAGGCAGCAGUAGGGAAUCUUCCGCAAUGGGCGAAAGCCUGACGGAGCAACGCCGCGUGAGUGAUGAAGGUCUUCGGAUCGUAAAGCUCUGUUAUUAGGGAAGAACAAAUGUGUAAGUAACUAUGCACGUCUUGACGGUACCUAAUCAGAAAGCCACGGCUAACUACGUG
rnacentral:rRNA from 1 species